CCCCGUGACCCGCGGUGGCACCCUGGGCGGAGGAGCCCAGUGGCGGUUGCCAUGUGGCUUCCUGCUGUCUCCCUGGCUGAGACACAUCGCCAGCUCUUGCAGGGACCUGGUGGCUCUUCUAACUGGUGACUCUGCACUCUGGGCCAAACACUGGCACCCUGAGCACCAGAGCAGUCCCAGCUCCUCUCUGUGGGUAACUCGGGUCCUCAGGGGCCAUGCGUGGAUCCUGUCCACCUCCCCUGGUCCGGAGGAAGCUGCCCAGGAAGGGCCUCCGGACACAGGCAGGGCCAUGCUGCAAUGCCACUGGAAAUUAUUUAUUUAUGUAGAGACUUAAGUAGCAUUUUAUUUGUUUCCUAUGCUUUUUUAAAAUAAAUACACAACAGAGCUGCGUGUGUGGUGGUGGGAGGGAGCAGGCCUUUGUCCCCAGCAGUCCUGGGCCUCCUGAGGCUGUGACCCUGCCAUGCUCUGGCCAACCACAUGGCCUGGGCAGCAGCGGUUCUGUGCCAGGUGAAAGUGCCCGUGCCCGAUCACGUGAGAAACUUCGCCAGCGGUGGCUCAGUGGCCGCAGCCUGUUCUGUUGGCUUCCUGUCGAGGCCUCGUGGCCCCAGUGUGACCUCACCUGGUAGAAGGCCCCACGCAGGCGUCACUCCCAGCCACCAGGAUGGAGGUGAAGGGCGGGACCCGGAGCGCAGAUGCACCCACUGGGCACUGGGCACGCGGACAGGGGCCCAGGAACGUGGUGUCGGAUGCAAGGAGGACUGCACAGGUGGCCACCCAGCCAGCCACCCCAAACUCUGUCAUAACCCAGCGUGAUGCCCACGCCUCAAUCCCAGCACUUGGGAGGCUGAGGAAGGAGGAUCUCAAGUUCACACCCAGGCUGAACAAUUUAACAAGCAAUUUAAGACCCUGUCUAAAAAAGAAUUCAAGUGCUAGGUAGUGUAGCUCAGGGUCCAGGCGGGCCCUUCGGUCCUCCAGACCUUCAAAAACAACAAACACCAAAACACUUUCUUGGGGGUUCCACUUGAGCCGCCUGUGGUCCCCACUCCUGCUAGUUCUGACUGGCAGCGUGGCCCGUUCGUUCUGGGUAGGCUGAUCCCGCGUCAGUCCUCCACACCUCAGCCUCUGUCCAGCAUCCCGCAGCCGCUGCCGUGAUCAGAUGGGGCAGAGCUCUUUGGUCCAACAUGCCACCACCUGACUCCUCGCCGGCCCCGCAGCUUCCGUGUGUGGACGCUGUCCUGUCCCACCACUCCGCUGAGCCGAGGAGAGAGCGCUCCAGCCGUCACUGCGUGUAGAGUUUGGCCCCGACUGCAUCGUGGUGAAAUGUCUCCGUUUAAAAAUACUAAGCUGAGCUGGACAUGCAAGCACAUGCUUGCCAUGCGAACUACCUCAGAGGCUGAGGCAGAAGAGUUCAACCCCCAGCGUGACUGGAGUGAGACACUGUCUCAAAAACAGUUUUUUAAAGGGCCGGGGAUGUACGUCAGUGGUGAGCAUGGGGAUCUGGACGGGACGCUCUGGUACUGGAAAAGGGUCCCAAGUGCUCCCCAGGGCGCCUGCGAUGCUCCGCAAGUUCCAGUCACCCUUUUCCCUGCGCUGCUCCCCUCAGCUGUGCAGAUGAGCUCGAGUUCCACACCCCCGCUCGCACCCAGCCCGCCCGCAGUACGAGACUUCCAUCUGUCGCUUCACUCUGAGGUCACUUCCAGUUUCUUUGCUGUUUGUUCCUUUUGUCUUUUCUUUUUCCUUUAGUAUUAGUGCCUACUAAUUUUACAAAGUGUUAGGUUUCAAUGCAUAUAUUUGGAUCAUCUCCAUCCCCUCUGUUACCUGCCCUUAGGCCCCUAUUCCUUACUCCCUUCCUUUCUACUUCACAGUCAUCUUUUUUAAAACUAUUCACCAUAUUGGAG
ensembl:lncRNA